UUUUCUGUAGUCUAGUGGUUAUCACGUGCGCCUCAGACGCGCAAGGUCGCUGGUUCGAUCUCGGGCGGAAACA